rnacentral:misc_RNA from 1 species
AAGUCGUAACAAGGUAACCGUAGGUGAACCUGCGGUUGGAUCAUUAAAAGUCGUAACAAUGUUACAGCAACUCUCAAAGAAAUGUUGUUUUGGAUAAAGUAUCCCAUUGCAUCCAAAAAUCACAAGCAAUUCAAUUUAAUUUAAUUUUUUUUAUUUGAAAAAAAGAAAACUUUUGACAAUGGAUCUCUUGGUUCUC